GUUCUCUUAGCUCAGGGGCAGAGCGGGCGACUCCAGUUUAAAUCGGAAUUAUAUCGUCAGGUCGGCGGUUCAAUUCCGUCAGGGGACU